UGUAGGUUCUACCCGUGUAACAGAUGAGGAAACCAAGGAGCACAGUUAUUUACUAACUUGCACAAGCAUCUAAAUGAUAUUUGAAGCCAUGAGACAGGAUUUAGGAACCAGGAGAGUGAAUCUUGAUAAUAAACGCAGUGGCCUCAAAUUCAGCUGUGGAACAUUUCAAAGUUACAUGGUUGGAGAUUGGACGAUGAGUUUCUGAAUGAAGUAAGAAGGACCUGCAAGCAAGACAUGAGAGAGAAGAGGGAAGGUUAUGUUGUCCCUGAAAUAAAGGAACAGUUUCCAGAGCCACAGAGCCAUCAAAGGUCUUCUGUUCAACCUAUCUGCUGCAUCCUAGAUGAUGAAACACAAUUCUCAGAAAGUACUGGCUCCAAACUGACAUUUUAGCUGUGCGGGCCUUUUCAACUCUCUCUCCAGCUGACAGCUUCUGGAUGGUUCUGGGGACUGAGAAGUUUAAGAUCAAGGCAGCCGCAAGUUUGGUGUCUGAUAAGGACCCCACCUCUGCUUCUAAGAUGCAACCUCCAGAGGGAGGGAACACUGUUCCCCACAUGGCAGAACAGAGGAGCUGAAAUUCAUUUCUGAAUGCCCUUUUCAACAGUUGUUUAACCCACCCAUGUGGGCAGAUCCCUCCUGGCCUAAUCACCUCAUAAAGGCCUCACUUCCCAAUAUCAUUACACUGAUGAUUAAAUAUCAACGUUAAGUUUUGAUAUAAAUAUUCAAACCAUGGCAGUUGUCUAUUUGAAUUUUACCUUCAAAAACUCUGUUCACUUACAUUAUCAUGUGGAACACCAUACUUCUUUGAGUUUGCUUCUUUCUUUCUCUCUCUCUCCCUCUCUGGAUAUGCCUUCUCAGUUCCUCUUCAUUCAAUUUAUUCUGCCUGUUCUUUACAAUAUGUCUAUUAUUUAGAGAUCAGUGACAGUUCAAAUUGCUUCUUAUUUGUAAUGACUUUUAUCUCAUUUUCAUGCCUUUAAUUAUUAUUGAUGGACUGAUAAUUCCCAGGUCUCUUCUGCCAGCUCAGAUAUCACUAAUCAUAGCUGGAUUUAUAUAUACACUGCUUUUGAGACAUCAUUCAAAUCAUGCUUCUCAAAAGAUGACCCAAGUUCUUUGAUUCUUAGUUGUUGGGGUGUGUGUGUGUGUAUGUGUAUGUGUGUGUGUGUGUGCACAUAUUUCUAUACACGGCACUACUACAAUUCACCCACACCCCAAGUCAGACACAAGUUCAUUGACAUUGUCACAGGCCACAGACAAUGAUGUCACAGAAACUCUUAGUGAAAUUGUAUACUUUUGAGGGUGCGAUCCCAGAAUCUGAAGCCAGAAUCAUGCUUUUUUAAAGUAACUGCAUGAUCUUGGGCAAUUAAUGCAAUAAUUCUGUGCCUUAAUUCCCACAUCUGCCAAAUUGAAAUUAAAGUAGAACUCAACACAAAGGUUUUUGUGUGGGUUAAAUACAUUGAGAUAUACACAGCACCUAACUAUAUAAACACUCUAUGUGGCAGCUACUGCUGUGUUAAGAGUAUCAUGAUUGAUAACAUCUACUAAAUCUCUCCCUCUUGCCUCACUGUUAUUUUGCUAAUUCAGAAUUCUAUGAUUUUGAAAGUAUCACUGAAAAAGCUAACUUCUCUCUGAAAAAGCUAACUUCUCUCCUCAGUGUUGUUGGUUCAUAAUCCUUUCUAUGUAUUACAGUGAUUUUACUAAAAUGGGAAUAGGAUCAAGUUGCUUCUUUAAAUAAAAUUCUUUAAUAAGGUUAUACAAUAUUUUCCUAUAUGUUCAUUCUUGUUCCUCCUGGCUAUCCAUCCGCCUUAUUAGGAAUUUUCUGGUUGUUUUAUCUUUCUACAUAAAAUUUGGGCUUGACUUCACAGUGAUUGCAGAAAACAUUUCUAUUUUACUGUUCUUUUAAAUUUAUAUAUUAAUAUUGACAGAAUUGUCAUCAUUAUGGUGUUGUGUUUUUAUUACAAG
rnacentral:lncRNA from 1 species